UGUGGAGCCUCCGACGCGCCGGCUUUGAGCAUCCCUGGCCAGCCAGGCGGGAGGCCCCGGAGCUGUGGCUCCGGCGGCAGCGGCUCGUCCCGCCCUCGACAUGGCCAGCAUCGGAGAGGACGCAGCCAGCGCCGGCGAUGUGCCCCCUGCAGCAGCCGCGGUGGCAGAUGGUGCCCACCUCCUGGGCUUCUCGGACGAGAUCCUCCUGCACAUCCUGAGCCACGUCCCCAGCAUAGACUUGAUCCUGAACGUCCGGCGCACCUGCCGGAAGCUCGCAGCGCUGUGCCUGGACAAGAGCCUCACCCACACGGUGCUGCUGCAGAAGGACUAUGAGGCCAGCGAGGACAAGGUGAAGCAGCUGGUGACGGAGAUCGGCUGGGAGAUCCAGCAGCUCAGCAUGGCCGGCUGCUACUGGCUGUCGGGCAGCACGGUGGAGCACGUGGCCCGCUGCCGCGGCCUGGUGAAGGUGAACCUCUCGGGCUGCCACCUGACCUCCCUGCGCCUCUCCAAGGUUCUGUCGGCCCUGCAGCGCCUGCGCUCCCUGGCCAUUGACGUGAGCCCCGGCUUCGACGCCAGCCAGCUGAGCGGUGAGUGCAAGGCCACGCUGAGCCGUGUGCGGGAGCUCAAGCAGACGCUGUACACGCCCUCGUACGGCGUGGUGCCCUGCUGUACCAGCCUCGAGAAGCUGCUGCUGUACUUCGAGAUCCUGGACCGCACGCGCGAGGGCGCCGUGCUCUCGGGCCAGCUCAUGGUGGGCCAGAGCAACGUGCCGCGCUAUCAGCACCUGCGCGUCUUCUACGCCCGCCUGGCCCCCGGCUACAUCAACCAGGAGGUGGUGCGCCUUUACCUGGCUGUGCUCAGCGACCGCACGCCCGAGAACCUACACGCCUUCCUCAUCUCCGUGCCCGGCAGCUUUGCUGAGAGUGGGGCCACCAAGAACCUCCUGGAGUCCAUGGCCCGCAACGUGGCGCUGGACGCACUGCAGCUGCCCAAGUCCUGGCUCAACGGCUCGGCCCUCCUCCAGCACAUGAAGUUCAGCAGCCCCUUCUACUUCAGCUUCAGCCGCUGUGCCCUGUCCGGCGGCCACCUGAUCCGGCGCGUCAUCGACGGCGGCAGGGACCUCCGGAGCCUGGCUGGCCUGAACCUCAGCGGCUGUGCGCACUGCCUGGCGCCCGACUCCCUGCUGCGCAAGGCAGAGGACGACAUCGAUAGUGGCAUCCUGGAGACGCUGGUGGCGGCCUGCGGCAACCUGCGACACCUCAACCUCUCGGCUGCCCACCACCACAGCCCCGAGGGCCCCGGCCGGCACCUGUGCCAACUGCUGGCGCGGCUCUGCCACCUGCGCUCCCUGUCGCUGCCUGUCUGCGCCGUCGCUGACUCGGCGCCGCGGGCUGACCGCGCGCCCGUCCGGCCUGCCACGCACGCUGUGCCCCGUGGCUUCGGCAAGAAGGUCCGCAUCGGCGUGCCGUCCGGCCCCGACCCUUUCUCCGGGCAGGCGGGCCCCCUGCCGUCCUCUGUGUUCUGGUCGCUGCUGAAGAGCGUGCCCUUCCUGGACCGCCUCGAGCUGAUUGGGUCCAACUUCUCGUCUGCCAUGCCGCGCAACGAGCCCGCCAUCCGCAACUCGCUCCCCCCCUGCGGCCGGGCACAGAGCGUGGGGGACUCGGAGGUGGCCGCCAUCGGCCAGCUGGCCUUCCUGAGGCACCUGACGCUGGCCCAGCUGCCCAGCGUCCUGACAGGCUCCGGGCUGGUCAGCAUCGGCGUCCAAUGCCAGCAGCUCCAGUCCCUGUCCCUGGCCCACCUGGGCACGAUGGGCAAGGUGGCCUACACUUCGGCCCUCGCGGACAUGCUGAAGCACUGCAAGCGGCUGAAGGACCUCAGACUUGAUUUUAAAGCCCCUCACCCGUCCUGUGACUUGUCAGCAUCCCCAGGUGUCAGGGCUGUGGAGGCUGUGUCCGAGGCUCACGUGGCUCUCGUUUGGGCCUGUGGACGGCCCCUCACCCUCGUCCAGGCUGGAGCAGCCCUACUUCAGCGCCAACGCCCAGUUCUUCCAGGCGCUGAGCCAGUGCUCUGCGUUGCAGCGCCUGUGCCUGGUGUCCCGCAGUGGCACCCUACAGCCCGAGGCCGUGCUGGCCUUCAUGGCGCGCUGUCUGCACGUGGUCGUGUGCCACCUGUUCACCGGCGAGUCGCUCAGCACCUGCCGGAGCCUGCAGCAGUCCCUCCUCCGCAGGAAUGCAGGUGGCCUUGAGACGCUGGAAAAAGCCAGGACGUGGAUUCUCCCGUGGAGCCGCCAGAGGGAACACGGCCCUGGUGACACCUUGAUUUUAGCCCAGUGAGACCUGCGUCAGACUCCUGACUUCCAGAGCUGUGGUAAUUGACACCAUAUCAGCAACUAGAAAGGGAUACGCCGUCGGGGGCUUCUCUCACUCCCUCUCCCAUCUGUCCUGCGCUCAGCCCACCAGCAAAUGAGGGAGGAAAACAGACUUUCUACGAUGGGCACAGAUGAAAUUAAUUCUGAGAUGUAAACAGGAAAACACACACAUAAAAACGUAAUUUCAUUCAAAAACAUAUUCUAGGAUGAAGCUCUCAACAAGAACAGAUCGUCUCCGGAUCUAUUAAAACAAAAAAUGUUCACGGUAUAUUAGUCCCAAAGGCAAGUAGCGAGAUCUUGUAUAUAUGUAUGUAUCUAUUUUGGUUGGGAAAAAAGUCCUUACCAGGAUAAGUUUGUGCAGAGCAAAAUGUGGACCAGCACGAGGAUGUACCAGCCAUUAGUGGAGGGGUCUUUGGGGGAGUGGGCUACCCCAAAUGAGGCUGGGGGAUUCCCUGGCAGUGCAGUGGUUAGGGCUCUGCGCGUCCACUGCUGGGGGCAGGGGUUUGAUCCCUGGUCGGGGAACUGAGAUCCUGCAUGCUGUGUGGCAUGGCCAAAAAAACAAAACCAAAAACAAACCCAAAAAACGCAUAUAUUUCUUUAAAAAAAAAGAGUCUGGGUCCCGUGAGAAGGAAAGUUUGGGCAGUUCAGACCAUCGCUGGGGGUGGAGAGGGGCCCUCCUUAAAUCAAGGUGGGGUGAGGAGAGCCCAGAGCCAGCCCUGGGAGGGGGGGCCAGGUGCUCCUGCCUAGGUCUGGGGGUGAGAGCGUUUCGCAAAGCCUCGGUGGUCUGAGGGAAUUCUUCAAAGACACAGCCUGGUUUUCAGCAGAGAAGCCAUAAGCUUUGUGCAUGGUUACCUUGCUCUCCAGAACAAACCAGGGGGGCUCAGCUCCCUCCCCACCAGCCGUGGCCUGCCCGCCAGCCACCUGCUCCAGGCCCUAUGCUAGAGGACACUCAGUUUCAAGCCACAAAGCAGUGCUACCCUGCUCGGCGGGGACGGCGCGGAAGGCCUGCGUUCCUUUUAACAUUUUCUUAAAAAAAGAAAAAAAAAAAAGUACAGAAAAUCAGAGAAAACAAACAGCUUGAUGAGUUGGCAUAAAUGUACCGAGAAGCAGAGUUCCGACACUCCAGCCAUGACCACCUCCCUUGCACACCAGUCCGAGCGUCGCCUCUGACACCGCAGCUCCGUCUCGCAGUUUCGUUGCUGGGUCUAAGCGUCCUGUCCAGAGGGUCCCAUCCAUCCCUUUCUUUCCUGAACAAUUGAUAUUUCGGAGAGCCUAGGCCGGCUGACCUGGUGAACUUCCCACGUUCUGGCUUUUGCUGACUGCAUCCCAAGGUGCCAUUGUACCCGGUCUGUGUUUCCUCCAGGUGGGCAGCUGGAUCCAGAGGUUUGAUCAGACUCGCGUUCAUUUCUUCAUCGUUCACAGUUAUUCUUCUUCACUGGUUUUGAUUUUAAGUGUAAUUUUUGAAAUAAGAAUGUAUUCAUGUGGUUCAACAAUGAAUAAAGGGACUUCCCUGGCGGU